GAGGAAGGUCCCCCACAUUGGUACUGAGACACGGACCAAACUCCUACGGGAGGCAGCAGUGAGGAAUAUUGGUCAAUGGGCGUAAGCCUGAACCAGCCAAGUCGCGUGAGGGAUGAAGGUUCUAUGGAUCGUAAACCUCUUUUAUAAGGGAAUAAAGUGCGGGACGUGUCCCGUUUUGUAUGUACCUUAUGAAUAAGGAUCGGCUAACUCCGUGCCAGCAGCCGCGGUAAUACGGAGGAUCCGAGCGUUAUCCGGAUUUAUUGGGUUUAAAGGGUGCGUAGGCGGCCUUUUAAGUCAGCGGUGAAAGUCUGUGGCUCAACCAUAGAAUUGCCGUUGAAACUGGGAGGCUUGAGUAUGUUUGAGGCAGGCGGAAUGCGUGGUGUAGCGGUGAAAUGCUUAGAUAUCACGCAGAACCCCGAUUGCGAAGGCAGCCUGCCAAGCCAUGACUGACGCUGAUGCACGAAAGCGUGGGGAUCAAACAGGAUUAGAUACCCUGGUAGUCCACGCAGUAAACGAUGAUCACUAGCUGUUUGCGAUACACAGUAA
rnacentral:rRNA from 1 species